rnacentral:rRNA from 1 species
CCUACGGGUGACAGCAGUGAGGAAUAUUGGUCAAUGGCCGGAAGGCUGAACCAGCCAUGCCGCGUGAAGGUCAGUGCCCUAUGGGCGUUAAACUUCUUUUGUGCGGGAGCAAUAAUGGUCACGUGUGGCCAGACGAGAGUACCGUACGAAUAAGCAUCGGCUAACUCCGUGCCAGCAGCCGCGGUAAUACGGGGGAUGCAAGCGUUAUCCGGAUUUAUUGGGUUUAAAGGGUGCGUAGGCUGUGAGGUAAGUCAGCGGUGAAAUGCCCCCGCUCAACGGGGUGAAGUGCCAUUGAUACUGCCUGGCUGGAAUGCGGAUGCCGUGGGAGGAAUGUGUGGUGUAGCGGUGAAAUGCAUAGAUAUCACACAGAACACCGAUUGCGAAGGCAUCUCACGAAGCCGCGAUUGACGCUGAUGCACGAAAGCGUGGGUAUCAAACAGGAUUAGAUACCCGGGUAGUC